rfam:Pteropus alecto contig102328, whole genome shotgun sequence.
GGUUCCAUAGAGUAGUGGUUAGCACAUCUGCUUUACGUGCAGAAAGUCCUGGGUUCCAGCCCCAGUGGAGCCA